GACGAACGCUGGCGGCGUGCUUAACACAUGCAAGUCGAGCGGUAAGGCCCUUUCGGGGGUACACGAGCGGCGAACGGGUGAGUAACACGUGGGUGACCUGCCCUCAGCUCUGGGAUAAGCCUGGGAAACUGGGUCUAAUACCGGAUAUGACUCCAUGACGCAUGUUGUGGGGUGGAAAGCCUUGUGCGGCUGAGGAUGGGCCCGCGGCCUAUCAGCUUGUUGGUGGGGUGANGGCCUACCAAGGCGACGACGGGUAGCCGGCCUGAGAGGGCGACCGGCCACA
rnacentral:rRNA from 1 species